rnacentral:rRNA from 1 species
GACGAACGCUGGCGGCGUGCUUAACACAUGCAAGUCGAACGGUAAGGCCCCUUCGGGGGUACACGAGUGGCGAACGGGUGAGUAACACGUGGGUGAUCUGCCCUGCACUUCGGGAUAAGCCUGGGAAACUGGGUCUAAUACCGGAUAGGACCACGCUCUGCAUGGAGUGUGGUGGAAAGCUUUUGCGGUAUGGGAUGGGCCCGCGGCCUAUCAGCUUGUUGGUGGGGUGAUGGCCUACCAAGGCGACGACGGGUAGCCGGCCUGAGAGGGUGUCCGGCCACACUGGGACUGAGAUACGGCCCAGACUCCUACGGGAGGCAGCAGUGGGGAAUAUUGCACAAUGGGCGCAAGCCUGAUGCAGCGACGCCGCGUGGGGGAUGACGGCCUUCGGGUUGUAAACCUCUUUCAGUACCGACGAAGCGCAAGUGACGGUAGGUACAGAAGAAGCACCGGCCAACUACGUG